GGAUGUAGCCAAGGGGAUCAAGGCGGG
rnacentral:tRNA from 1 species